AUGACACUCAAAUUAGCAUUUCAGCCUCACCUAGUUGAUGUCGACAAGGCACCUGAAAAACAGAUGGAAUUGAUUGAGCUCUCAGUAGAUGACAUUUUAAAGUCAUUGUUUGAUGCUAAGAAAGAUCCAAUCAAAAUAUGGACAAAUGCAGUAGAAUACCCACACCUUCAACUCCCCAGAUUGUCAAGGUUAUCAAAAACAAGGAACAAGUUCUCACCACCAAUUCUGCAGCUAGAUGAGGUGGAUUUCUACUGUGACCCUAAACAUGUCAUCUUCAGUCGUCUCUCCGUCUCUGCUGAUCUUGAGUCCCGCAUCUGUGUGGUUGGGGAGAAUGGGGCUGGGAAGUCCACCAUGCUGAAGCUGCUUAUGGGGGACCUGGCACCUGUUCGAGGCAUCAGAGAUGCUCAUAGGAAUCUGAAGAUUGGCUAUUUCAGCCAGCACCAUGUGGAGCAGCUGGACCUGAAUGUCAGUGCUGUGGAAUUGCUGGCACGCAAGUUUGCUGGGCAGCCCGAGGAGGAAUAUCGUCACCAGCUGGGCUGGUAUGGCAUCUCUGGAGAACUGGCCAUGCGCCCUGUUGCCAGCUUAUCUGGGGGUCAGAAGAGCCGAGUGGCCUUUGCUCAGAUGACCAUGCCGUGCCCCAACUUCUAUAUUCUGGAUGAACCCACAAACCACCUGGACAUGGAGACAAUCGAGGCUCUGGGUCGUGCUCUCACGAUGAACGCUUCAUCAGGCUGGUGUGCCGGGAGUUGUGGGUGUGUGAAGGAGGUGGCGUCACCCGGGUUGAAGGAGGAUUUGACCAGUAUCGAGCCCUCCUCCAGGAACAGUUCCACCGUGAGGGCUUCCUCUAGGGCCACCAGGCUGAGGACUGUGCCCAGGACAUUGACUGGUCUCAGACACUGGGCCACCAUGUAGGCAACCAACUCCAGGCUGAGGGCUUUACCCGACUUGGGGACAGCCUUAUUCCCAAAUGUCUCUCCUUUUGACUGGAGCAUCCUCUACACAACCUGGGGAACCCCAUCCAAGUAUCUGUGAGGACUGGUCUCCCAGGGGGAAGGGGUUGGGGAGGGGGUGUGCCCUCUGGGGUUAUAGAUUCCCCCACUGCCCCAGCUCUGCCUGGGCCCCAAGUGGCUGGUAUGUAAAUUAAAUUUCCCCCUGCAAAAAAAAAAAAAAAAAAA